AAUCCAAUCUACACUUCCAUGGUUCCAGCUGAAUUGCAGAUGCUACAGAAACCUCGAGUAACAGAGGUACAUGUUCGAAUGGACUGUCAAGGAUGCGUGCAGAAGAUCAAGAAAGCACUCUCCGGCAUCAAUGGUAUAUAUGAUCUAUAUAUUGAUUACCCCCAACAGAAGAUAACAAUCAUAGGUUGAGCAGAUCCAGAAAAGAUUCUCAAGGCAAUCAAGAAGACAAGGAAAAUUGCCACCAUUUCCAAUAUAGAUCUUCCAACCGAUGAGCCGCAACCACCACCACAAGAAGAAGCAGAACCAACACAAUAACCAGAACCUGAAGCAAAUUCACCUGAACCAGCACAAGAAGAAGCAUCACACCACUACCAGAGGAACCCCUGAAAGGCGAACCACCAACCAAGAUAACAUCACCAAGACCUCCAGAGAAUAAUAAUAAAUGUCAUUGCCAGAAUCCACCACCUAGCACCCCAGAAACUAGAGAUGUUGGAGAGGUUCAUGUGAUGCACCAACAUCACCCAUAUAACUAUGUGAACAGAUAUGAUUUUGGCCAUAACUAUGUAGGAUAUUUGGAUAGAUUUCAAUACCAGAAUAGGAAUAUGCCAAUGUUUCUAGGAGAGCCACCCCAACAUGUUCAUGUGACACAUAGCUACAAUGCUUAUAGGCCAUCACCUUAUGUCACUGAAUAUGAGUAUGUUAGGUUACCACCAAGGUACACACAUUAUAAUAAGAUGGAAUACUACACGACUAGAGACUACAAUCACUCCUACUACAAUGGCAAUGGAAAUGGAAACAUCACAUCCAUGUUCAGUGAUGAGAACCCAAAUUCAUGUAGGAUAGUGUAGGAGAAGAACAUUAAGGUUGUUCUUGGUAAGUGUUUCAACUUUCAAGACAAAAAUAAUAUUGACUUGAGACGAUGC